rnacentral:rRNA from 1 species
UGGGGAAUAUUGCACAAUGGGCGCAAGCCUGAUGCAGCCAUGCCGCGUGUGUGAAGAAGGCCUUCGGGUUGUAAAGCACUUUCAGCGGGGAGGAAGGCGUUAAGGUUAAUAACCUUGGCGAUUGACGUUACCCGCAGAAGAAGCACCGGCUAACUCCGUGCCAGUAGCCGCGGUAAUACGGAGGGUGCAAGCGUUAAUCGGAAUUACUGGGCGUAAAGCGCACGCAGGCGGUCUGUCAAGUCGGAUGUGAAAUCCCCGGGCUCAACCUGGGAACUGCAUUCGAAACUGGCAGGCUAGAGUCUUGUAGAGGGGGGUAGAAUUCCAGGUGUAGCGGUGAAAUGCGUAGAUAUAUGGAGGAACACCAGUGGCGAAGGCGGCUCUCUGGUCUGUAACUGACGCUGAGGCUCGAAAGCGUGGGGAGCAAACAGG